rnacentral:rRNA from 1 species
CCCUAUUAUAAUUAAUGUAAUAAAAAUUUUGAGUAGUAUAUGUUCUGGUCAGGAAACUUAAAGAAUUUGGCGGUGUAUAUUCUGAUUAGAGGAAUAUGUUUUUUAAUUGAUAAUUCACAAUUAUCUUACUUAAUUUAAUUUAUUUUGUAUAUCUCCGUCUUAAAAAAAUAUUUAAAAAUAUUUUUUUUGUAUUAUAAUAUAAAAUAAGUCAGGUCAAGAUGCAGAUUAUAAUUAAGUCAAAAUGUAUUACAAUAAAAUUAUUUUCGGAAUAAAUUUGUAAAAAAUUUAAGAAGUUGGAUUUAUAAGUAAUUUUUUUAAUUAUAAUUAUCUGAAUAAUGUUAAUAUAUAUGCACACAUCCC